rnacentral:lncRNA from 1 species
UCAUAUUAUAAACAGCCAUUACAGACCAGAAUGUUUAUGUGAGAGGAGAGAAAUUCUCCCAGUUGUCUGGACACAGAUAAAACAUACUCCAUACAGGAUUUUCCUUGUUUUGUAUGUAUGUAUGUAUGUAUGUAUGUAUUUAUUUAUUUAUUUAUUUUUCUCUCUUUAAUUCAGUUCAGCUGAAUCUUGAAUUUAGUGGCCAGCAACUAAGACGUGAACUGAGAUGCAGCAGAUCUUCUGUUUCUCAGCAGACAUUAUGCCUUUCAGAAAUAUCGCUAUUCAUAUAAGCGAAUGUAAAUACAGGUAAAUGGAUUUGGGCAAUAUUACUACACCAAAUUUGUAAAUGAUUUAACAUUUUCCUUUUAUCAUCAAGUAAAAAUAAUGCUAAAUUGUAUUAUUUUUCAAACAUUAUCAUUGCAGCUUGGUCACCUAUGCACCACAGUGCCUUUCUUUGCCCUAAGCGCUCUUCUCAGAACCUCUUUCUAGAACCCUCAACCUGCACGUUUGCAAUUGCUCUCAGUUCUGCUGUGAUAAAAAGUCUAUGAAGAGCUGGUGAAAUACACUACCAUUGCUAAGUAAGCCACUUGGUUAGAAGUGAGAGGAGCUCAGAAACUCAGCAAACUUGUCAGGAGAUAUUGCUUUGAACAAAACAUUCUCUGAUUGCAGGAUACCCAACAGAAUUUAAAUAAUGAAAAAAUAACAGAUAUCACAAUAGAGGAAGCUCUUAAUCUUGACCAUGUUCAUUCUUUUAUGGCUUUGUGGAAUAUAACAGUUGUUUAUGCUGCAGGAUAAGCUCAUUAAUUUAGAAAUAAGGAGAUUCAAGUUGCCUAUGGCUGCAUGGCAUACAUUUUUAUGUCUUUGCUAAUGGUCUGAUUCAGUGACCCAGGGUAGAAUAUUGAACAUCACCAAUACAAAUAGACUCCUGAAAUAAAUGAAAGUAUUCCAACA